rnacentral:rRNA from 1 species
AUUGAACGCUGGCGGCAUGCCUUACACAUGCAAGUCGAACGGCAGCACGGGAGCAAUCCUGGUGGCGAGUGGCGAACGGGUGAGUAAUAUAUCGGAACGUGCCCAGUCGUGGGGAUAACGUAGCGAAAGCUACGCUAAUACCGCAUACGAUCUAUGGAUGAAAGCGGGGGAUCGCAAGACCUCGCGCGAUUGGAGCGGCCGAUAUCAGAUUAGGUAGUUGGUGAGGUAAAGGCUCACCAAGCCGACGAUCUGUAGCUGGUCUGAGAGGACGACCAGCCACACUGGGACUGAGACACGGCCCAGACUCUACGGGAGGCAGCAGUGGGGAAUUUUGGACAAUGGGCGCAAGCCUGAUCCAGCAAUGCCGCGUGCAGGAUGAAGGCCU